rnacentral:lncRNA from 1 species
GUUAAAGCCACGAAUUACAAAGUGCUGGGCUGUAUGUGGUGCCUCUUUGACGAGAGCAUUUCUGCUCACCGGAGUAUGACUUUUCUCUUGUGGUGUGUCAAGGAGGACAAACCCAAAGCUCUCGAAAUAACACUCACUGCUUAUACUCACUUCUCAGCAUUUGCUGAGCAUAUAUUGUAUGCCACAUAUCAUGCAUAUGGCCUUUAGAUAGCCAGUCCCAACGAACCCUCUUCCAUCUGCAUCUUAUUUGACCUCUCUACAGCCUUUGAAGCUGUUGACCAUUUUCUUCAUAGAAUCCCCUUCCACUUUGACUUCCAUGUACCACUCUUUGGUUCUCUUCUUUCUCUGUGGCUUCUCCUUGUCAGUCUCCUCUGAGAGCUACUUUUUCUCUAUUGACCUCUUAAAGGCUGGUGGCCUCAAUUAUCACCUUUGGGCUGAAACUUCAUGCAUCCAUAUAUCUGUGACUGAGUUCCCUUCUCCUGCUCUCAUGAGCCUUGCGUCUGUCUACUUUCUGAACACUUCUGGGCAUCCCAUAGACAUAUACAGUACUCCAGAUGUUCAUGAUAAAGCUGAUCACCUCUUCCUCAACAACUGCUCCUCUUUCUGCAUCUCUAGCUCAGUUACCAACAUUCAUGACCAUCAGGACCAACCAGAAACCUGGAGUCAUCCUAGUGUCCCCAUGACUUCAUCAGUCACCAAAUCUGACAACUACCGCUUUGAAGGAUCUCUCCACAUUGUCCACCUUCCUUGUACUGACUAAUGAUUCUGAUUCGGAAUUCCCUCCAUCUUUUACUCAGAUUUUUUGUUCCUCGUCUUGUUGUCUUAAGAAGUAUCCUCCAAAAAGAAAGAAGGAAAAUCCCAAGUGUAAAACUUCUGCAAAAGCAAAAAAAAAAAAAAAAGAAGAAGAAGAAGAAGAAGAAAUGUCCUCCAAGCAGUUUCUAGAAUGAACUCUCUCAAGUUCAAAUUGUCCCUUCUUACUCCCUGACUUAAUCCCUAUCGGACUUAUACUCAGGAUGACGCCCAAGCUUCUUCCAGUGACAUCUAGAUGUAUACAGCUCCUCUCCUUAGACUGUGAGUUCCUCGAAGGCAGGGACUGUCUAUGUUACUUCCUCUGUAUGGCCUUUUUCCUCUCAAUCAUCUCUGAACAAAGGAGACCACUUUUCCUACUUCUUCACUGCAUUCUGUGAAGGACCCUCAAAUUGCAAUCUUUGUAUUUUCUUGAUGUAUUGCUUCCUGAUAGAUUCUAAACUUUUCCAUGGCAAUUCAACUCUGACUGCUCUCUCCUAGCAGAAGACCUGGUAUUUAAAAUCUAUAAUAUCCUGCUAACUUUGUUAAGAGAGAUAAUGCUUCUCUAUUGAUUCUUUUUUAAUCUGGCCCUUCAAUUUCUCUAAAAAAAUUUGAGAACUCAGACGUCUUAUAAAUAAUACAGUUUGGCCUUCUUUAUUCAUGGUUCCAAAUUCUAAGAUUCAACCAACCUAAGAUCAAAACAUUUGGGAAAAAAUUGCAAAUGUACAAUGACAUUUUAUAUCAGGGGCUUGAGCAUCCAGAUUUUGGUGUCAAAGGGGAGUCCUGGAAUCCAAACCCUCAUAUGCCAAGGGACAAUAUUGAAAACUUCAGAAAAAUGUCUAAGCAAGAUUUUAAACAUUGAUAAAGUUUUUCAUCGAUUCGGCAUUACAUAACUGAAAGCCAAGGUCUUUGCAUUGCACAACUCUCAGGGCCAUCAGUUUCCUUAAAGUCUUUGUAAAUGACACCACAAAAAUAUGAAUGAUGGCCCCUAGAGUUAGGCAAUAUGACGCCUUUCUGGUUGGUCAGGAAGUCUUGGUUUAAUACUAACAAGCUGAGCUGUUCACUUCCUCUGUCGAGACCUCCAUUUCCUCAUCUAUAAAACAACAUGGACUAGAUCAUUCUGUGGUUAAAACCCUUUUCAUACUAAUAAAUCUCACAAAACCCUUCAGUAUUAAAAAUGAAUAGUAUAAUAAACUAAUUCACCAGAUAAUAAUAAUAAUAUUAAUGUCAUUUUAU